rnacentral:rRNA from 1 species
CCGCCGCGGUAAUACCAGCUCUUCGAGUGGUGUGGAUGUUUAUUGGGCCUAAAGCAUCCGUAGCUGGCUAGGUCAGUCCCUUGUUAAAUCCACCGAAUUAAUCGUUGGAUCGCGGGGGAUACUGCUUGGCUAGGGGACGAGAGAGGCAGACGGUAUUUUCGGGGUAGGGGUGAAAUCCUAUAAUCCCGGGAAGACCACCAGUGGCGAAGGCUGUCUGCUAGAACGCGCCCGACGGUGAGGGAUGAAAGCUGGGGGAGCGAACCGGAUUAGAUACCCGGGUAGUCCCAGCUGUAAACGAUGCAGACUAGGUGUUUGGACGGCCACGUGCCGUUCUAGUGCCGCAGGGAAGCUGUUAAGUCUGCCGCCUGGGGAGUACGAUCGCAAGAUUGAAACUUAAAGGAAUUGGCGGGGGAGCACCACAAGGGGUGAAGCUUGCCGGUUUAAUUGGAGUCAACGCCGGAAAUCUCACCGGGAGCGACAGCAGUAUGAAAGCCAGAUUGAAGGUCUUGCUAGACGAGCUGAGAGGAGAGGUGCAUGG